UACGUAGGGUGCGAGCGUUGUCCGGAAUUAUUGGGCGUAAAGGGCUCGUAGGCGGUUUGUCGCGUCGGGAGUGAAAACUCAGGGCUUAACCCUGAGCCUGCUUCCGAUACGGGCAGACUAGAGGUAUGCAGGGGAGAACGGAAUUCCUGGUGUAGCGGUGAAAUGCGCAGAUAUCAGGAGGAACACCGGUGGCGAAGGCGGUUCUCUGGGCAUUACCUGACGCUGAGGAGCGAAAGUGUGGGGAGCAAACAGG
rnacentral:rRNA from 1 species